rnacentral:rRNA from 1 species
GACGAACGCUGGCGGCGUGCUUAACACAUGCAAGUCGAGCGGGAUCCAACCGGUGGCAACACCGGGGAAGAUCUAGCGGCGAACGGGUGAGUAACACGUGGGUGACCUGCCCUCAGCUCUGGGAUAAGCCUGGGAAACCGGGUCUAAUACCGGAUAUGACUCCAUGACGCAUGUUGUGGGGUGGAAAGCCUUGUGCGGCUGAGGAUGGGCCCGCGGCCUAUCAGCUGUUGGUGGGGUGAUGGCCUACCAAGGCGACGACGGGUAGCCGGCCUGAGAGGGCGACCGGCCACACUGGGACUGAGACACGGUCCAGACACCUACGGGUGGCAGCAGUCGAGGAUCUUGGACAAUGGGCGCAAGCCUGAUCCAGCGACGCCGCGUGAGGGAUGAAGGUCUUCGGAUUGUAAACCUCUGUCACGUUAGGGAAAAGGUUACGACCUAACACGUCGUGACUUGAUGGUACC